CCUACGGGUGGCAGCAGUGAGGAAUAUUGGUCAAUGGACGAAAGUCUGAACCAGCCAAGUCGCGUGAAGGAUGACUGCCCUAUGGGUUGUAAACUUCUUUUAUAUGGGAAUAAAAUGUUCAACGUGUGGGCUUUUGUAUGUACCAUAUGAAUAAGGAUCGGCUAACUCCGUGACAGCAGCCGCGGUAAUACGGAGGAUCCGAGCGUUAUCCGGAUUUAUUGGGUUUAAAGGGAGCGUAGGUGGAUUGUUAAGUCAGUUGUGAAAGGUUGCGGCUCAACCGUAAAAUUGCAGUUGAAACUGGCAGUCUUGAGUACAGUAGAGGUGGGCGGAAUGCGUGGUGUAGCGGUGAAAUGCUUAGAGAUCACGAAGAACACCGAUUGCGAAGGCAGCUUACUGGACUGCAACUGACACUGAGGCUCGAAAGUGUGGGUAGCAAACAGGAUUAGAUACCCGAGUAGUC
rnacentral:rRNA from 1 species